AAAUUAGGAUAAUUUGAUAUGUUUAAUAUUAGUGGUCUUAAAAAAUAAUAAAUUAAAGAUUUAACCCAUAUUGAAACAGUGGAUUAAUUAUAUUUUAUUUUUUUAUUAAUGUUGAUUCAAAAACCCGUCCCUCCAAAUCCGUCUUGCCAAAAAGUCAAUAUAAUCUAAACAUUUUACCUAAUAACAUAGGAGUGCACCAUAUUUAUUUAAUAGGGGAAUGUAUCAUAUGACCCGAAUGCAUUUUUAUCCAAAUCCACCAAAAAAGUCUUGCAAAAAUACUAUAGAUAUAAGAAACGAUAGUCGGUUUUGAUAGAUAUAAGAUUAGCAAAUAUAUUAGUUAGCUUAAAUUAGUUAAAGAAUACAAAUUAAAAAGGUAUAUUACACUUUAUUCAAAUAUAGUAUCAAAACUUAUAUAACACAGAGAUUUGAUAAUUUUUUAAUUGUUGAAUACUUUUUUUUUGUGCUAAUUUUUAUGUGAUUAAGAUUUAAUUGAUUUCAUAUAUAAAAUAUUAAAUUGACUUAUUUGUUUAUAAUUUGGUAACAGAUAGAUAUUUGAAUAUUCAGUAUAUUUUGCUUCAGUUUAGGAAAUCUUUGAUGACCCGUCUUUAGAUCCAAUAAGCCCUAUAAUUUAGAGAUUAAUCUGCAGUAUACCGCAUGUAGGCUUAUAUUUUAGUUAAACUAAAAACUUUUAUUGUAAAGAUGAUUUAAAAAUAUAUGAUAUUAUUUUAUUUGAUUUUAAAUGUAUAGUAAACUGUGAAUUGUAUAUGUUUUGUUGAUAUUAUAUUUUAGAUCGAUAUUAAUACAAGAUGGUAUACUACAUGUGAAACUCUAAAAUUAACAAUCAAAAUACAAGUGUAUAAUUUUAAACACUAAACAAUAUAAAUAAUAUCAACAAAACAUAUACAACUCGCAGUUUACUAUACAUUUAAAAUCAAAUAAA
rnacentral:sRNA from 1 species